rnacentral:rRNA from 1 species
AACGAACGCUGGCGGCAUGCCUAACACAUGCAAGUCGAACGAACCCUUCGGGGUGAGUGGCGCACGGGUGCGUAACGCGUGGGAACCUGCCUUUAGGUUCGGAAUAACUCAGAGAAAUUUGAGCUAAUACCGGAUAAUGUCUUCGGACCAAAGAUUUAUCGCCUUUAGAUGGGCCCGCGUUAGAUUGGAUAGUUGGUGGGGUAACGGCCUACCAAGUCGACGAUCUAUAGCUGGUCUGAGAGGAUGAUCAGCAACACUGGGACUGAGACACGGCCCAGACUCCUACGGGAGGCAGCAGUGGGGAACAUUGGACAAUGGACGAAAGUCUGAUCCAGCUAAACCACAUGGGUGAUCCCAAAGGAAGGCUUCGGUGCCGUAAAGCCCUUUUUCUAUGUGAAGAGAAUGACGGUAGCAUAGAAUAAGUCCCGUAACAUUGUGCCAGCAGCCGCGGUAAUU